CAGUCGCCACGGUAAUACGUAGGUCCCGAGCGUUGUCCGGAUUUAUUGGGCGUAAAGCGAGCGCAGGCGGUUAGAUAAGUCUGAAGUUAAAGGCUGCGGCUUAACCAUAGUACGCUUUGGAAACUGUUUAACUUGAGUGCAAGAGGGGAGAGUGGAAUUCCAUGUGUAGCGGUGAAAUGCGUAGAUAUAUGGAGGAACACCGGUGGCGAAAGCGGCUCUCUGGCUUGUAACUGACGCUGAGGCUCGAAAGCGUGGGGAGCAAACAGGAUUAGAUACCCGAGUAGUCCCUGUCUCUUAUACA
rnacentral:rRNA from 1 species